rnacentral:tRNA from 1 species
GCCGAAGUGGUGAAAUUGGUAGACACGCACGUUUCAGGGACGUGUGCAGCAAUGUGUGGGGGUUCGAGUCCCCCCUUCGGCA